GGCAAUCGAACAUUCUCUGGUAGAACACCCCUCAAUACAACUGGAAGCAACUGGGUCACAACAUGUGGCGAUCAUGGGCCUUGAGAUUUGUGAACUUCUUUUCUUUCAUAUUUAUUAUUCUCUUUAUAUUGGAGGAGUACCCAUACGGGACCUUUAGACUAUUCAAGCAUUCAAACAUACUAUCCUUCUCUUCCUUGCUGAGAGUGUAACUAGCAGGACGUAAGUAGUGCUAUCCGUUAUCU
rnacentral:lncRNA from 1 species